UUGUAUAAUAGAAGCUUCUGCUUAUGAAAAGACCGCAGUGAAGGGUGGAGCGUGAUUACGGUGGGCUGUGAGGCGUCCCAGACGAUGUCCCCGGAGAAGGCUCCUCUGCAGACCUGCAUUUCAUCUGAGAGGGAGCUUGGGGGCAAGAUCUGGGGGAGGGGCCUGGAGGGCUCCUGAUGUGGGAAAGCAGCGGCAGGAGUGGCGAUGGCCCUGCAGGGAAUGACCCUUGCCAGCUACAGGGACAGCGACAGUGACGGGCAGUGACUGGGGCCAGGAUUAAAGAAAAUUAAUGGACUACCCAGCCCUGACCUGUCCAAUGUGGUAGCUACUAAUCACAUGUGGUUAUUAAGCACUUAAAAUGUGGCUGCUCCAAAUUAAGAUAUGCAUGCAACAGUGUCAGAGGCUGGGCUUCAGGAGGAUGACUGGAUCACGAAGGUUUUCACUUCAUUGUUGGGUCCGACAUAGUCAGAGACCACAGGAGCAGAAGACAAAGAAACACCUGAGCCCUUAACCUGCUACGCAUUGAAGACCAAGAGCAUCUGUACCCAGAGGUCUCCACGGCCCAGACCCAUGGCCACCUUGGAUUCUAGCCAGACGUCACACGACUGAGACUGACCCAAGGCAGGAGAGUCCUUGUCAUGGGAACCAAAUUAUCUCUCAAGUCAUGACAGCUACAAAGUCAGUUGAGCUACAAAGCCAGGCCCGAGAGAGUGAUCAACCAGAACCCUGCCCACUAUAACAGCCCCUACAACGGAUCCCUUUCUUUCACUCAUGGGCCAGUCUGGUCCUAUUCGUCAGAGCAUGUCUCCUCCAGCUACUCAAGCUGGGGUCCUUUCCUCAUUCCCUUACUUUCUUGUUGGCCUGGAAAUGCAUCCUGUUGCUUUAGUUUUAAUUUCCAUUAGCACUAACACUAGAAGCCAUAGUAGGUAGUGACGGGAUAAGCCAUUCAUAGAUUUAUAAUUUAGUGGCAUUAUUGGGAGGGAGUGGAAACUUUAGAGGUGGCGCCUCAUUGACAGGAGUGGGUCGUGGCUGUGUGACCUUGGGGACUGUAUCUGGUCCCCAGUCCCUCCCUCUCUGGCUCCUUCCUUCUCCCUCAGCUUCCUGGCUGCCGUGAGGUGAGCAGUUGUCUCCACUUGCUCUUAUACUCCUCUGUGUCUGCAUACUACAGGCCUAAAAAAUGAUGGGGCCAGCCCACCAUGGACUGCAACCUUGGACCCCGUGAGCCAUAAUAAACCUUAACUCCUCUAAGUCAUUU